rnacentral:rRNA from 1 species
UCUAACAGCAUAAGAGAGGUAGUGACAAGAAAUAACAGUACAAGGCAGUUAAAAUGCUUUGUAAUUGGAAUGAUAGAAAUUUAAAUACUUUUUAAAGUAUCAAUUGGAGGGCAAGUCUGGUGCCAGCAGCCGCGGUAAUUCCAGCUCCAAUAGCGUAUAUUAAAAUUGUUGCAGUUAAAAAGCUCGUAGUUGAAUUUUUGCUAAAAAUAACCGGUCUGCUUUUAUUAAUAAAAGUGGUAUCUUGGUGUGUUUCUAGCAAUAAUGUCCUUUGAAAUGUUUUUUACUUCAAUGUAAAAAGCAAUUUUCAGGAUUUUUACUUUGAGAAAAUUAGAGUGUUUCAAGCAGACUAACGUUUUGAA